rnacentral:rRNA from 1 species
UCCACGCCCUAAACGAUGAAUGUUAGUCGUUGGAGAGCUAGUCUCUUCAGUGAUGCAGCUAACGCAUUAAACAUUCCGCCUGGGGAGUACGGUCGCAAGAUUAAAACUCAAAGGAAUAGACGGGGACCCGCACAAGUGGUGGAGCAUGUGGUUUAAUUCGAAAAUACGCGAAGAACCUUACCUGGCCUUGACAUCCCAAGAACCCUAUAGAGAUAUGGGGGUGCCCUUCGGGGAGCUUGGUGACAGGUGCUGCACGGCUGUCGUCAGCUCGUGUCGUGAGAUGUUGGG